GACGAACGCUGGCGGCGUGCCUAAUACAUGCAAGUAGAACGCUGAAGCAGGAGCUUGCUUCUCCGGACGAGUUGCGAACGGGUGAGUAACGCGUAGGUAACCUGCCUGUUAGCGGGGGAUAACUAUUGGAAACGACAGCUAAUACCGCAUAAGAGUAGAUGUUGCACGACAUUCGCUAAAAAGGUGCAAUUUUAUCAUUACUAGAUGGUCCUGCGUUGUAUUAGGUAGUUGGUGGGGUAACGGCUUACCACGGCGACGAUACAUAGCCGACCUGAGAAGGUGAUCAGCCCAACAGGGACUGUGACACAGGUCAAAAUCCCACGGGGAGCAGGCAGAGGGAAACUUCCGCAAUGGGCGGAAGUCUUGCCGAAGCAAGCCGCGGGAGUGAAUGAAGGUUUCGGGAUGUAAAACUCUGUUGUGAGGGGAAGACCAGUGUGGGAAUGAAAUAUUCACACUGUGACGGUAUCUUACCAGAAAGGGACGGCUAACUACGUG
rnacentral:rRNA from 1 species